rnacentral:lncRNA from 1 species
GCUUCGUUCUUCAGCUUAAAUCAGGAUCCUUUACUUAAUAUCACUUGAAAUAGCCCUGUAUAGGAUCCUAGGGAUUGAUUCUAACCACCAAGAAAUAUCAAGAACUUUUUGAUUUUCUUUUUCUCUCUCUAAGGCCUCUCUCUAGAUCUGAUCUAGAAUAAGUGGGGCAUAGAAGAUGGAACAGAGAGGAAGUUGGCGU